rnacentral:rRNA from 1 species
AUUGAACGCUGGCGGCAGGCCUAACACAUGCAAGUCGAACGGCAGCACAGAAGAGCUUGCUCUUUGGGUGGCGAGUGGCGGACGGGUGAGUAAUGUCUGGGAAACUGCCCGAUGGAGAGGGAUAACUACUGGAAACGGUAGCUAAUACCGCAUAACGUCGCGAGACCAAAGUGGGGGACCUUCGGGCCUCACAGCAUCGGAUGUGCCCAGAUGGGAUUAGCUAGUAGGUGGGGUAAUGGCUCACCUAGGCGACGAUCCCUAGCUGGUCUGAGAGGAUGACCAGCCACACUGGAACUGAGACACGGUCCAGACUCCUACGGGAGGCAGCAGUGGGGGAUAUUGCACAAUGGGCGCAAGCCUGAUGCAGCCAUGCCGCGUGUAUGAAGAAGGCCUUCGGGUUGUAAAGUACUUUCAGCGGGGAGGAAGGCGGUGAGGUUAAUAACCUUGCCGAUUGACGUUACCCGCAGAAGAAGCACCGGCUAACUCCGUGCCAGCCGCCGCGGUAA